rnacentral:snoRNA from 1 species
GUCCUCUCAAUCCCUGACUCAUCAGACCUACAUAUUGGUCUGAGGGGCUAUAUAAGGAGGAGAAGUAAAGGUGAAAAUGACGUGGAUUCUUUUGUGACAUACAGGUUACUUUCAAACAAAG